GACGAACGCUGGCGGCGUGCCUAAUACAUGCAAGUCGAACGCAUUUUCUUUCACCGUAGCUUGCUACACCGAAAGAAAAUGAGUGGCGAACGGGUGAGUAACACGUGGGUAACCUGCCCAUCAGCGGGGGAUAACACUUGGAAACAGGUGCUAAUACCGCAUAAUUCCAUUUACCGCAUGGUAGAUGGAUGAAAGGCGCUUUUGCGUCACUGAUGGAUGGACUCGCGGUGCAUUAGCUAGUUGGUGGGGUAACGGCCUACCAAGGCUGCGAUGCAUAGCCGACCUGAGAGGGUGAUCGGCCACACUGGGACUGAGACACGGCCCAGACUCCUACGGGAGGCAGCAGUAGGGAAUCUUCGGCAAUGGACACAAGUCUGACCGAGCAACGCCGCGUGAGUGAAGAAGGUUUUCGGAUCGUAAAACUCUGUUGUUAGAGAAGAACAAGGAUGAGAGUGGAAAGUUCAUCCCUUGACGGUAUCUAACCAGAAAGCCACGGCUAACUACGUG
rnacentral:rRNA from 1 species